ensembl:lncRNA
CUACUGAGACGUUUACUUGACGUAUUCUUAGAUUUAAUUUGUUUCUCAUUGUCGAAAAUGAACCUGAAAGUAAACAUUUCGUUUGGAUGGUGUACACCAAUGUCUGUCCUGUACAUGUGACUAAUGCAACUUGAAACACACACACACACACACACACACACACACUGACAGUAGUAUACUCACUGACAUACAGGGAGUGUACUAAGCCUAUUAUCUGAAGGACUAUACACACUAUCUAGACAUCGACCAAAGUCUCAGGUAGAUACAGAGCAGAACAUCUGUACUCAGCAGGUAGCCUAGUGGUUAGAGCGUUGGACUUGUAACCCAAAACUUGCUAGAUCGAAUCCCUGAGCUCUGCCAAAGGUUGCUAGAUCGAAUCCCUGAGCCGUGCCAAAGGUUGCUAGAUCGAAUCGCUGAGCUGUCAAGGUACAAAUGUGUCGUUCUGCCCCCUUCCUAGACCGUCAUUGAAAAUAAGAAUAUUUUCUUAACCGACUUGCCUAGUUAAAUAAAAACUCUGCACACACUCACCUUCUGUAUAGUAAUUUACAACACAAAGGAAACGUAUUAUAUCAAUUUCCUUUAGUCCAACUGUACAUUAGGCCUAUUAGAUAACCCGACUGACAGGCGGGGUGUUUAACAUACCGUCCUGUCUAUGCAUAUAAGUUAGGCUAUAACAGAGGGCUAUUAUAAUACGGUAGUUUCUUUGAGUCCAAAUGGAUUCAUACUAAUUCAUUGAAGACUGACACGCAAGUCUUGCUGAGUUUCUAUUGGUUGGCAACUUUCAAUGAAACCUUGACGUUAUUACAGAGUUAUUGCAUUAGCCAAAUAAAACUACGAUGAGAUGGAUACUGUCGCCUACAGAGCUACAACAAAAUGUUACAGCUUCUAUUAUGUAUCAAAGUGUUAUUUCAUUGUCUUGCUAUAGACAUAGGCAUAUAUUGAGUUACAUAGGCCUAGAGAGUAUUGCAAUAGGCUAAUUUACAGAAGACACGGAGAUCACCAGGAUAGAUGGACCUGUUCCAGAGCGAGUUGUUAUUGACAUAAUAAUACAGGCUCUUACCCUCCAGUGGGCAACAACUUGUCGGCUACUUUUUCUUGGCUACUUUGUCUCCCUGGCUUGAAUCACUAUAUAUCGCCGUAUAUCCCUCCCGUGAUACUUCCACUGGUGUUCACCGGCUCGUCAGUACUUGUCUACGGUGUACAUUCCGGUCUCCCGGUGGGACUCCACCUUAUCCGCCCAAAACGCCCCGGAGCUCCACACUACAGGCCCGACCUGUCUGCCUCAGUCUGAUCCUACCGCUCCGCGCGUCCGCUUCCACUCCGCG